GCCCAAAUACUUCGCUCCAGAGACUUAGCGGCCGCCCCAGAUCUAGCCCAAAUCACCAUCUGCUCCAACCCUAGCCGCCGCCAACACGAGACGACGCCGAGCACCCACCACUGCCCGACCCCAGCCGCCCCUGACCACCCAUCGCAGCAGCUGUCCUCUCGGACCACCGCCGCCGCCGAGCACCCUCCUCCGUCGCCGUCAAGUACCCUCCUACGCAGAUCUCGUCCGCCCUCCGCCCAUCCCCAGCGCCGCCCAGAUGUCGCCUCUCCUUCCAUGCUUUCUCCCCGGGCAGCACCGUCUCUCCUAGGGUAUGCGCCACCGACCAUCAUGCUCUCCAGCCUAUCGUCCUUCGUCCGUGCUCCUCCGACCUCCCCCUUUUGUACUUCGAGCGCGAGGUAUGGUCCUGGUGCUUCCCGUUCUCUUGUAUUCUUUACUGUUCUUUCAAUUUUUCCAAUGAUUUGUAACACACAUGAGCACAUCUGCCAAAUCUUCUCCCUCUGCUUUGAGGAAAAUAGCAGAGCACUCUGAUGGAAGAAGUCAGCCUCAGCCAGUGCAAACUAUAGCUCUAGAAAUAGUUGCCGCUUUGUUUUACUGGUAAAUACUUGUUACAAAGUGCUAUUUUCAGCUGUAAACAUUCAGCCUACACUAUGUACUGCAUGUUUUACUAAUAAUUGCUGCCUGGUAUCUUGUCUGACCUGAAACAUAUGGUCACUUUAGUAAUAGCAACAUCAAAGUAGAAAUUGGGUUGGGCAAGGAAUUCAUGAUUCUGGCCCAACUUUUGUUAGAUGUGUAAAUUGAAAAAUGUUUGUCAACUAUGAUUAUUUUGUUUCAAAUAAUAACACGUAAAAACCUUGUUUUGUUUGCAUGUUAUGGUUUAGGAGGUUGAACAGAAUAUUAAGACGCAUAAUAAGUACCUGUCUUAUUUGCUCAUGAAAAUGUUUGAUCUUAACAUAGGAACAUGAUCUGACCCCAUGCGUAUGUUAGCAGUCUGGUUUUCAUGCCUUUUGUGAAUGCAAAGUGGCACUUGAUGCAUAGCUAGUGUCAAAAGACCUUCAUAAUUUGGACUGCUAAUUCUCGUGGAUUAUCUAUCUGUUUGUUUGAAACUGCUGUCCAUUGCCAACAUAUUUCUUCCAGCAAUUUUGCAGUUGGAUUCUGGUUGGAUUCCUUUAUUUCCAAGUUUAAUUGUGUCAUUCUUGUAAUUUCUUUACCGUGCUAUGCAGAAUGAACCAUCUUUUGGUGGUGCUUGAGUCAUGGGCAUAGAUGCAUCUAACCAAAUAAUGCUUGCUUCUGGGAAGGCACCUAGUGUAGGUGGAGAACAUGUUCUAAGAAAGGUAUAGUACAUUUAAAUCUCGUUCUUUGCCAAAUCUUCUGAUACUGAAGUUGUCAAGGAUAUAUGCAUCUGGUCCAUACAUAACACUGUCACUGAUAACAGCGGCUCCAAAAAGAUUUUUCUGCUUCUGCUAUGGGACCUUGCAUGUGGGAUGAUGAGGGCAAUCAAAGCAGGUAUGUGACACAGGGAUAGUUGAAAAGCGGCAACACCUGAUUUGAUUCUGAUAGUGUUUUCUGUUGAUCAACCCAGUCUAGUGGGAGUCGUUUGCUAGGCUUUCUCCGAUCAAAAAGGCUGAGGAGGAGAAGUAGCUAAAUAGCAUUGGACUUUAUCUUGUGAAAAGGCUGAGGAGGAGAAGUAGCUAAAUAGCAUUAGACUUUAUCUUGUGAAAAGGCUGAGGAGGAGAAGCAGCUAAGCAAUAGUUCGCUUUCCCUAGUUGAAAAGGUUGAGCUGAACUAGACUUUUCAAGCUUUAGUGCAUUGAGCUGGCAGCAGCAAGCUUCUAGGUAGCUACCUCACAUUCACGUACAACUGCAAUAGGCAGUUUGUAAUCCCCUAUAAAAGGAGCCGUGCUCCUUCAUUGUAAAUCAGGGCCAUUUCAUUUCUAUCCAGCCAAGCCUCAAGUGUAGUACUACUACAUAUACGUGUAUGUGUUUUGCUAGAAUGCUUAAGCAUAAAUAGUUAGUAGCACACAACUGCUACUGUGUGAGUUCCUCUGUUCUUGUGUGUUGCCGCAGCAAGUGUGCAGCUGGCUGCUAUUUAGUCCUCUGCUAGAUUGUACAAGACAGAGAGCUAGUUACUCGCCAGUAGUUUUGGGCUAACAUUUUCUUCAGGUGGCAUCCUUCAAGGACCAUCCUUAUUAGUUACUUACAGCAAUUUUGUUGAUUAUGGAUUAUGGAUCAUCAUCAGACGGCCAUGCACAUGCAUAGAACUCACUUUUUUCUAGCUAGCUAGUUGCUACUCCCUCUGUCCCAUAAUGUAAGAUGUUUUUUGACACUACACUAGUGUUAAAAAGCUGUCUUACAUUAUGGGACGGAGGGAGUAGUUGUUACUGUUUGCAGGCGUAAGAACUGAGAACGGCACUGAAUAGCCAUGCUCAAGGCUUUUUAGGUUACCAAAGAGGACGCCCCUCUACGGGGAAUCUCCAGCGGCGACAGUUAUACACUGACUGGAUUGUUGUUAUACACUGCCUGAAUAGCCUUGUUUUUAUGUUGCUACACACUGCCUGAACUGUUAAAGGCCUUGAUUGACUUUCAUUGAUUGCUAUAAUAAUGACAAACUGUCCAGAAGCAGGACUAGUCUGUUUCUUUGAUUAUAAUAAUCAACAAUUGGUAAGUUUGUCUAGCUUAAUUGUUUCUGAAAUUUACACAACACGUCAGGUAGAUAUAUGGUGGAAAGGUGAAGGGCACAUGUACACAUAUUUUGUUGUAUCAGUGGCUGGCUGUGCAAGCUCACGUGAUUUAGUUUAAAAUACUGUCGUAAAUAUUGCAUCUGCGAUACGUCUCAUGAUUUUGCAAAUACUGUAUAAUAUUAUGGUUUUCACAAACUCUGGUAUUUUGCAGCUAGAGGUUUAGAAACUGUAGUUUUCGAAUACUACAAUUUUACAUAUACUAUUCACCCAAACAGAGCCUGAGCAGUUUGGAGCCCUUGAUGUCCUUUUUAAAAACUGAGCAGGACUAUUGAUGUUUGGAUAGAAGUCCUUGCUGAAAAAUGCUUGGCCUGGAGCCUCCUUGCAAAGUGCCUGGACUAUGUUUAGUUGAUGUCCUGAAGAAAUGUCUAUUGACUUCUGCUAUUUGCAUUAGAACACUUGUCCUUAUGUGAUAUAAAGAUUGCAUUUUUAUUGUGCUGUCUUGUGCUUCCAUUACUAGUUGCAUGUUUAUGAUACAACAGGUUUAUCGUUCUAUGAGAGCUCCAUUUUGAGUUUCCGGUCUGUUGCAGGUUUUCCUAAGAUACACAAGUUGAUGGAGGAUUGCAAGAUCUACAUACAAGCGGUUGACGGUUUGGAAGUUCUACAGCGGCUGAAGGUUUGGAGGACAUACAAUUAAGUUGGUGUAGUGAUAAUGUAGUGCACCUAGUUUGUUGAACCUGGAGACAUUGGCAAGUUCUGCUUAUUUUGGUGGUUGUUUUGGUACACAAGCCACUGGAUGCUCAUUUUGGUUGUGUGGCACAUCUAGAAACAUACGUACUAUUUUGUGCCAGCACAAGUCCUUAUGUAUGGUUGUUUCCUAUAUGUAUGUAUCCAGAAACAUAUGUAUCUGGCAUGUUAUGUUUAUAUUGAAGGAAAUUUAAGGUUUUUGAUGAGGCCUAUGUGUAACUUCGAUUGAAGUGUAUGUCUAAGAUGUGAGAUCUACC
rnacentral:lncRNA from 1 species